rnacentral:rRNA from 1 species
UAAGCGGAGGAAAAGAAAAUAACCAUGAUUGCCCUAGUAACGGCGAGUGAAGAGGCAAAAGCUCAAGUUUGGAAGCUCAAUGGUUUAACCAUUGCGCAUUGUAAACUGAAAACAGGAUCAAUCAGGUACACCGGGUGAUAAGUUCCUUGGAAUAGGACAUCAUGGAGGGUGAGAAUCCCGUCUUUGACCCGAGUCUAGUAUCUUUUGUAUUGGCCUGUUCAAGAGUCAGGUUGUUUGGGAAUGCAGCCUAAAGCUGGAGGUAAAUCCCUCCUGAAGCUAAAUAAUGGCGAGAGACCGAUAGCGAACAAGUACCGUGAGGGAAAGAUGAAAAGAACUCUGAAGAGAGAGUUAAACAGUACGUGAAAUUGCUUAAAGGGAAGCAUAUAAAGCUAGGAUGCGAUUGUUUUCUUCAGGUUGAGCUUUGGCUUGACUGUUCAGAAGGAUAAUCCAAGACAACAAGAAUUGGAGGAGGAGAAUAAGCCAUUGGGGAAGGUAAUCCUUCGGGAUGUUUAUAGACCUGAUGGUUCGCGCUCUUCUUUCGAUUGAGGUACGCUUUUUUUAAAGGUUGUUGUCUGAAUGGCUUUAUAUGGCCCGUCUUGA